GACGAACGCUGGCGGCGUGCUUAACACAUGCAAGUCGAACGGAAAGGCCCUGCUUGCAGGGUACUCGAGUGGCGAACGGGUGAGUAACACGUGGGUGAUCUGCCCUGCACUUCGGGAUAAGCUUGGGAAACUGGGUCUAAUACCGGAUAGGAACCAUCUUUAGUGUGGUGGUUGGAUAGUUUUUUCGGUGUAGGAUGAGCUCGCGGCCUAUCGGCUUGUUGGUGGGGUAAUGGCCUACCAAGGCGGCGACGGGUGGCCGGCCUGAGAGGGUGUACGGCCACAUUGGGGCUGAGAUACGGCCCAGACUCCCACGGGGGGCAGCAGUGGGGAAUAUUGCACAAUGGGGGCGGGCCUGAUGCAGCGACGCCGCGUGGGGGAUGAAGGCCUUCGGGUUGUAAACUCCUUUCGCUAGGGACGAAGCGUUGUUGUGACGGUACCUAGAUAAGAAGCACCGGCUAACUACGUG
rnacentral:rRNA from 1 species